rnacentral:rRNA from 1 species
UGGGGAAUAUUGCACAAUGGGCGCAAGCCUGAUGCAGCAACGCCGCGUGGAGGAAGACGGUUUUCGGAUUGUAAACUCCUGUUCUUAGUGAAGAAAAUGACGGUAGCUAAGGAGCAAGCCACGGCUAACUACGUGCCAGCAGCCGCGGUAAUACGUAGGUGGCAAGCGUUGUCCGGAAUUACUGGGUGUAAAGGGAGCGCAGGCGGGGGAGCAAGUCAGCUGUGAAAUCUAUGGGCUUAACCCAUAAACUGCAGUUGAAACUGUUCUUCUUGAGUAUCGGAGAGGUAAUCGGAAUUCCUUGUGUAGCGGUGAAAUGCGUAGAUAUAAGGAAGAACACCAGUGGCGAAGGCGGAUUACUGGACGACAACUGACGGUGAGGCGCGAAAGCGUGGGGAGCAAACAGGAUUAGAUACCCUGGUAGU